rnacentral:rRNA from 1 species
UACGUAGGGUCCGAGCGUUGUCCGGAAUUAUUGGGCGUAAAGGGCUCGUAGGCGGUUCGUCACGUCGGGAGUGAAAACUCGGGGCUUAACCCCGAGCCUGCUUCCGAUACGGGCAGACUAGAGGUAGGCAGGGGAGAGCGGAACUCCUGGUGCAGCGGUGGAAUGCGCAGAUAUCAGGAAGAACACCGGUGGCGAAGGCGGCUCUCUGGGCCUUACCUGACGCUGAGGAGCGAAAGCGUGGGUAGCGAACAGG